UACGUAGGGGGCAAGCGUUGUCCGGAAUCAUUGGGCGUAAAGAGCGUGUAGGCGGCCCGAUAAGUCCGCCGUGAAAGUCCAGGGCUCAACCCUGGAAUGCCGGUGGAUACUGUCGGGCUCGAGUCCGGAAGAGGAGUGUGGAAUUCCGUGGUGUAGCGGUGAAAUGCGCAGAUAUCAGGAGGAACACCAAUGGCGAAGGCAGCACUCUGGGACGUGACUGACGCUGAGACGCGAAAGCGUGGGGAGCAACAGG
rnacentral:rRNA from 1 species